AACGAACGCUGGCGGCAGGCUUAACACAUGCAAGUCGAGCGAGGUUUUCGGACCUAGCGGCGGACGGGUGAGUAACGCGUGGGAACGUGCCCUUUGCUACGGAAUAGCCCCUGGAAACGGAGAGUAAUACCGUAUGUGUCCGGUAACGGAGAAAGAUUUAUCGGCAAAGGAUCGGCCUGCGUUGGAUUAGGUAGUUGGUGGGGUAACGGCCUACCAAGUCGACGAUCCAUAGCUGGUUUUAGAGGAUGAUCAGCCACACUGGGACUGAGACACGGCCCAGACUCCGACGGGAGGCAGCAGUGGGGAAUCUUAGAAAAUGGGGGCAACCCUGAUCUAGCCAUGCCGCGUGAGUGAUGAAGGCCUUAGGGUUGUAAAGCUCUUUCAGCUGGGAAGAUAAUGACGGUACCAGCAGAAGAAGCCCCGGCUAACUCCGUGCCAGCCGCCGCAGUAA
rnacentral:rRNA from 1 species